rnacentral:rRNA from 1 species
UUGAACGCUGGCGGCAGGCCUCACACAUGCAAGUCGCACGGUAACAGGAAGCAGCUUGCUGCUUUGCUGACGAGUGGCGGACGGGUGAGUAAUGUCUGGGAAACUGCCCGAUGGAGGGGGAUAACUACUGGAAACGGUAGCUAAUACCGCAUAACGUCGCAAGACCAAAGAGGGGGACCUUAGGGCCUCUUGCCAUCGGAUGUGCCCAGAUGGGAUUAGCUAGUAGGUGGGGUAACGGCUCACCUAGGCGACGAUCCCUAGCUGGUCUGAGAGGAUGACCAGCCACACUGGAACUGAGACACGGUCCAGACUCCUACGGGAGGCAGCAGUGGGGAAUAUUGCACAAUGGGCGCAAGCCUGAUGCAGCCAUGCCGCGUGUAUGAAGAAGGCCUUCGGGUUGUAAAGUACUUUCAGCGGGGAGGAAGGGAGUAAAGUUAAUACCUUUGCUCAUUGACGUUACCCGCAGAAGAAGCACCGGCUAACUCCGUG